rnacentral:rRNA from 1 species
GGAGUCUGGUCCGUGUCUCAGUACCAGUGUGGGGGACCUUCCUCUCAGAACCCCUACUGAUCGUAGGCCAGGUGGGCCGUUACCCCGCCUGCAACCUAAUCAGACGCAUCCCCAUCCCAUAGCGAUAAACCUUUAGUGCUCCUCAGAUGUCCUCAAUGCACAACAUAGGGUGUUAAUCCGCAUUUCUACGGGCUAUGCCCUACCAGGGGGAAGGUUGGAUACGCGUUACUCACCCGUGCGCCGGUCGCCAUCAGGAAUUGCAAGCAACUCCCAUGCUGCCCCUCGACUUGCAUGUGUUAAGCCUGUAGCUAGCGUUCAUCCUGAGCCAGGAUCAAAACUCU